rnacentral:rRNA from 1 species
AUUGAACGCUGGCGGCAGGCCUAACACAUGCAAGUCGAGCGGAGCGGCGGACGGGUGCGUAAUGCCUAUGAAUCUGCAUGUUCGUGGGGGAUAACGUCCAGGAAGGGACGCUAAUACCGCUUCCUAUCAGAUGAGCCUAGGCCGGAUUAGCUAGUUGGUGGGGUAAAGGCCUACCAAGGCGACGAUCCGUAACUGGUCUGAGAGGAUGAUCAGUCACACUGGAACUGAGACACGGUCCAGACUCCUACGGGAGGCAGCAGUGGGGAAUAUUGGACAAUGGGCGAAAGCCUGAUCCAGCCAUGCCGCGUGUGUGAAGAAGGUCUUCGGAUUGUAAAGCACUUUAAGUUGGGAGGCGUUACCAAAAGAAUAAGCACCGGCUAACUUCGUGCCAGCAGCCGCGGUAAUUC